AAUAAAUUUAUCUAUGAGUUUCUAUGUCUAGUGUUUAAUCGUUUGUCUUAUUUAAACUUUUUAUGAUGGGCAUUUUUAUUAUUAUUAGAUGAUAAAACAUGAAGAAUACUCCUGCAUGACUUAUAUUUUAAUUUUUUUAUAAAUUUUUAAAAUGAAAUGAAUGAUUAAACGUUAGGCACAUAAGCGCAUAAAUGAGGACGGA
rnacentral:pre_miRNA from 2 species